GACGGAGGGUGCUAGCGUUAUUCGGAUUUAUUGGGCGUAAAGGGUGUGUAGGCGGUCGGCCAAGUCUGAUGUGAAAGCCCGGGGCUUAACCUCGGAAGGGCGUUGGAAACUGGUCGACUUGAGUUCGGGAGAGGGAAGCGGAAUUCCGGGUGUAGAGGUGAAAUUCGUAGAUAUCCGCAGGAACACCGGUGGCGAAGGCGGCUUCCUGGACCGAAACUGACGCUGAGACACGAAAGCGUGGGGAGCAAACAGGAUUAGAUACCCUGGUAGUCCACGCGGUAAACGAUGGGCGCUAGGUGUGGGGGGUUUUUAAUCCCUCCGUGCCGCAGCUAACGCAUUAAGCGCCCCGCCUGGGGAGUACGGCCGCAAGGUUAAA
rnacentral:rRNA from 1 species